rnacentral:rRNA from 1 species
UAGUCGAGCGGCGAACGGGUGAGUAACGCGUGGAUAACCUGCCCUGAGGUGGGGGAUAACCAAGGGAAACUUUGGCUAAUACCGCAUGAUACCGAGAGGUCAAAGGGGGCUCGCAAGGGCUCUCGCCAUAGGAGGGGUCCGCGUCCGAUUAGCUAGUUGGUAGGGUAAUGGCCUACCAAGGCGACGAUCGGUAGCCGGCCCGAGAGGGUGAUCGGCCACACUGGAACUGAGACACGGUCCAG